AAUACUCCGACGGACAAGAACUAACUGCUUUCAAAUAAACAAGGAUUUUUUUCGUAUUUCAAGUUGUUUAUCGAGAUUCCAAUGUGAUUUUCUGACGGAAUCUGGGUCUAGAGAAGACCUCGCUAUGAAUUUAUUGUUGGCGUUUUAUGGAUUUUGUUUGAUACUGCUCGUGAACGAUAAAGUCCACGGGAAUCAGCAAGGACGUCAUGGGGCCAACAAGAAGCAUAGUAAACAUCAAAAGAAACGGGUUGGUUUAAAAGAAAAUGAUUUCAAGAAGACGCAUUUGAGUUCAAAGGAUAAAAAGGCAGACAUUACUAAACGACAGUUUAUGUUCAGACCUUAUGGGCCUCCCAAUUACCCAAUCCUAAAACCUCCACCGAUACGCCAUUUUGUAGUUCAUCACCACGCAAUUCCAGUGGCUUGUGAUCCUAACCCGUGCCAGAACGCGGGAACUUGUACUGUAGUUGUCAAGGGUUACGAGUGCACGUGCCCGGCUGGGUUCAUGGGCUCACAUUGUGAAGUUCGAAGUCAAUGUGAACCAAAUCCAUGUAAGAAUGGUGGAUCGUGCUACGAUGUGGGGACUGGAUACGAAUGCACGUGUUCCAUUGGUUUCAAAGGCAGCACUUGUGAAGACAAGAACAAGUGUCAUCCUAAUCCUUGUCGCAAUGGAGGGAUAUGUACGGGUACCAAUGACCUUGAUGGAUUUGAAUGUACUUGCAGGGAGGGAUACAAGGGGAAGAGUUGUGAAGCUGUAAACCAGUGUAGUCCUAAUCCCUGCAAGAACGGAGCGUUGUGUAUCGAGAAGGGGGCUAAGUACGAAUGCACGUGUCCUCUAGGAUACAAGGGAGUAACUUGUGAAGAACGCAGUAAUUGUUUCUCUGCGCCAUGUCUCAACGGUGGAACUUGCAUUGAAGAACCUGGCGGAUAUAAAUGCAACUGUAAAUAUCAUUACAGCGGCAUAAAUUGCCAAGAUCACGUUUGCCACCCUUCUCCAUGUCAGAAUUCCGGGACGUGUCUCGAGGAACGUGGAUCUUUCAGAUGUGUUUGUGGCAUAGGAUACCAUGGAAAUAACUGCGAAUACGAGACACCCUGUAUUUCACAUCCUUGUCUCAAUGGUGGCACUUGCAUUGACACAACUGCUGUGCACUAUCAUCACCUUGAUGCCAGCAUGGUAUCCCCAUCAUCUAUGUACACUAAUGGAUAUUAUUGCAAAUGUUCCUCGGGGUAUUCAGGGACACAUUGUGAAGAUGACUCCUGCAGUCACUGUCAUUUCUUCGCGGAUUGUUUUGGAACCAGAUGUCGUUGCAGAGCUGGUUACCAUGGAGACGGGAAGCGCUGUCACAAAAAUGUUUGUCAUCCUAAUCCAUGCAAGAAUUCUGGAAAAUGUGUUGAGGCGGGUGAAAGCUUUGAUUGCGACUGUCCUUCUGGUUACACUGGACCUCUCUGUCAGGUUCGUCAAUUUUGUCUUCCAAAUCCGUGCAAGAAUGAAGGUGUGUGCGUCCCGUCAACUCAAGCAUACUCGUGUUCCUGCAAGCGAGGAUUCAAAGGCGACGAUUGCUCAGAAGGUGACGUUUGCAAUCCCAACCCUUGUCGAAAUGGCGGGACUUGUCGGGAGGAAAACAAUGCCGCUGUUUGCGCAUGCGCUAUGCAGUUUGAAGGAAAGGUUUGUGAAGUUGACAGAUGUGCCAAAUGUCCUGAGAAUGCUCAUUGUGAACAAGGUCGUUGCGUUUGUAAUGACGGUUACCUCGAGACUGCUGAGAAACGAUGCGAAAUUGAACGAGGAGGAGCCCAAGAUCCAUGUACUCCUAACAGAUGUAAAAACGGCGGUGUUUGUCGCCAACCAGGACGAUGUGAGUGUCCCGAAGGUUAUGACGGGAGAUUUUGUGAACAAGAGGACACUCAGUCAAUUGGUGCAGCGGAUCCUUGUAGUCCUAACCCUUGCAAGAACAAUGGUGUUUGUUCCGUAACGGCAAACAAACCGAACUGUCAAUGUCCACAGGGAUUCUCUGGCGAUUAUUGUCAAGUUCAAGCCCAGGCUCCCAAGUCUCAGUGCCACCCUAACCCGUGUCAAAAUGCUGGGACAUGUCGUGAGAACGGGCCUGGAUACGAUUGCAUCUGCACCACAGGAUUCAAAGGACCUCAUUGUGAAAUUGACGAAUGUGAAAAAUGUGAUCCGCAUGCAAUAUGUGUCAGCGGUCACUGCAAGUGCAGGACGGGUUACAUAGGAAAUGGAUACGAAUGUUUAAAAGACUCGGACAGUGGUUGUGACAGCUGUAGUUCCCAGGCCACGUGUAAGAAAGGGACGUGUGUUUGUCUUUUCCCGCUUAUCGGAGAUGGACAGACCUGCUCAAUGCCCCCACCUCCUCCACCACCGCCUCCCCCUCCCCCACCGACUUCAUUCUGUACGUAUUCAACGUGCCCGCCUCCCAGUCAAUGUUAUGGUAAUAUUUGUAUGUCUAAAAGUUAGCUUAUUCUUGACCAACCGCACUCCGCGAAUUCUUCGUGCGAAUGAUUUUGAGAGUUAAAACCACACAGUCAUGAGACAAAGAAAACCUGUUUUAACCUGUUGUGAGAUGUAACUUUGGCUGCCAUAAAAUUGGUCACAAAAUGUCUGUCGUCCCAAUCUGGGUAAGGAUUCUGGGAAAUUUUUGAGG
rnacentral:misc_RNA from 1 species